AAAACGCCGGCUUUGCGUUUUAGUGUGGACCGAAAACAUUUUGAAAAGGGUGACGGUCUUGAUAACUAUGUUAUUAAUCGUAACUGAAGAGGGUACACUCAAGCUUUUCUACCGCCGGUGAUUGUUACGUUUUCAGUUUUCUCCGGCGUAUUGAGGAGUGAGAACGCCGUUUUCAAAUUUUUCCAGCGUAGUGUGGACGGACCUUAGUCGUGACUGCAUGCGUUGUUUAUUGUGUACAUCUGUCUAACCACCGGAACAUGUUUAAUGGCCCAGUAAAAUAAUAAUUUCAUCGUUCAGUUGUCCACGGAAUUUGAAAAUUUGUUAACGUCAGGAUGUUAAGACGCUUCUGUCUACUCACUGCCAUCUCUAUAAAGUUUUGAUUUUUUUAAAAAAAUGCAUGAUACAUUUGCCGGCAUUUAGACAAAGUUCGUGAACAUUCUUCACUGGCAGCUUUGUGAAGACAGGGUAGCUUUCGUGAACAUUCUUCGCUGACAGUUGUGGUUAGUAAAAUACAGCAUAUGUUUACCAAAGGGACUGUUUUCGCCAAAAAUUAAAGGAAUUAAUGUCAUUAGAAAACCAUGAGCGUAAUUUUUCAAGUCAGGCCAUUAUAAAGUCCUUUUUGAUCCUUAUCAUCGAUAAUUAUGCUCAAACCCUUCAAAGGCCCUAACAAGAUUACAGAAUUGGACUUUUUUUUCUCUGGGGCGCUAUUAUCGAAAGUUCCGGUUACCGGUCCGGAAAAGUUGUUUUAUGUUUCCCGUGUUUACAUUCAAGAUCGGGAUAUUAACAGUUUUGAAAUUCCAACAAUAAAAGAUAACAGGAAACGAAACAGAAUGGACUGGUUUUUGAGCCAAAUCCCGGACUACUAUUCCUUAGAUUUAAACCUUGAAAUAUGACUUUGGUUCCGUAAAGUUAACGGCACUUUCGAGAAGGAGGCCCUAGGUCUUAACAGCGUGUAACUAGCCCAGCGUCUACCUCCGACCUGGACCUGAGCCAAUCAGAUUCGUGAGUAGAUUGUUUAGUUGUCCCACAGUCAGUGGUAAAGUUCCAUUUCAGUAAUGGCAGGUCAACAUUUUAAGAGAAGGCAAAUUAAUUACUGGAUAACAGAAAAAUAAAACAGAACGCUCUCUAAAAAAAGGAACACAGAAUUUGAGUUUUUUCUCUGUGGCGAGCCGUCUAAGGUUAACAAGGACUCUGUCCAUCAGGUCAGGUAUGUUUUCUACUUUGUUAUUUUUUUUGUAUACAAAUUGCCGCUAUGGAGUCUUCAUAUUUCCUUCACCCAAUGUCUAGGUUUUUUUCCUCGACUUUUCGUUCUGAGAUGUAACAGUAAUUAAAUUUAUAAUAAUAAUAAUAAUAAAUAAAUAUUUAUAUAGCGCCUAUCCAUGCCUGCUCUAGGCGCUGUACAAUUUUAACAUGGACGAAAGUGGGUUAAAACGUGAGAUUUGACAUGAUUAAUUGGGGUUUGCAGGUAACUGAUUAAAUGAUUUUUUUUAUAAGUUGCCGGUAAUGUUCAGUCGGUUACAGUAAUUUAACAUAAAAAUAAAAUACAAAAAGCAGUACAACACAAAAAGUGCAAAAUGAUAUGAUUUAAUGGGCAGUAACAAUUGAGAAGAUCAUUCCCUUUUAUGAGGUGGAGGGGGGAAACAUGUUUUGAAUCGCUCUCCCCAUUCUCCCCUCUCGUGUUGGUGAAAAUUUGUUUUUCCCUGAAAUAUAUUAACGACUUAUUUAUCGGGUUUGAUCGUAAAGAGGUUUGACUCGAAAAGGCGUUUUGAAUUUACUAUAUGCUAUCAGCUCUUUCGCGAGUAACCAGUUUGAAGUCACUGCAAUUGAAAGUGGUUACGAUAGAGUCUUUUCUUGAAAGAGAAAUUUGUGGAAAUGAAAUUCAUAAGAUGCGAAAAAAAAAUUUACAAUUAUAACUAUAAAAGCUAUGUCACUGUUUGUAACUCAAAGAAGUAAAUAUUGACAUGAAGUGUCUUGUGGAGACUAUUGACUGAAUCAUCGCCUAUCAGUUGCACAUUACAGAAAGGUGAACAUCUGUGUCCGUAACCGCACAAUAGGAACGAACUGAAGACAACUUGGAUUAGUUGUGCGUUUUUCUAAGCUUGUUUUUUAGUUCCCUUCAUAGCAGGAGAAGAUUUCAAAAUGAGCUGGUACGUGACGUGAAUGCUAUUAUUUUGUAAACAUAACCUUGUACUGAGGUUAAAUUGCCAAGGUACGAUCCUUAAAACUAAAUAGUCUUCUAUAACAGCGCUAUAACUCGCUUCAACUAGUGAAUUCCCAAACAAGACUGGAGAUGCUUGCAAUAAAGAAAAGGAACACUGACAUUUUGUACAGAGUUUUUCUUGCAUUUAAACAUUCAUUUUAAAAGUGAAAUAAUUGCAAUUUUGAUUAUAUCGUCUGAUUGUAACAACGUCCGCCAUUUUUGACAAUUUCUAAUAUUAUAUACUCACAAUCGAAACUGUUAAAAAAAAUACCCAUUAUUUCUACCAUUUUUCGUCACCUGAGAAAGAAUCACGUUCAAUUUACAAACGUGAUCAGUGUAACUAUAGUUUUCUUUGCAAGUGUCUACUAGCAUGUGAUUUAUGAAUUAUGUAUCGGUAACAGUCGGCAGAUAUUCAAAUUCACCCAGCUCGUUUGUAAAAACAUUAAGACUAAUCAUGUGAAGCAAAGCGAAAGGAAAUUGGCUGCGAUGAAGAAUGGUCUAAAACUGUGCUCAGUUCACCAAGCAACAUUUUCAUAAGCCAGUUUCACUCGGGAUUACCAACAUCGGGUAAAGAAGCAAAGCCAACGGAGUUUAACCAGGAUGGCCGAGGAAAACUUAUCCCGUGCUUUGUAAACGCGAUAUGAAAUAACAAUGUGUUUUGUCAUCUCAUUUUCUCUUGGUUUUGUUGAAACGAGUCAAUGCUGCAGGCAAAGAAUAGAAGAGGAAGAGGUUUAUAUCAGCGUUUGAGAACGUUUGCAAUCUAGGGCGGAGUGAAAAUGCCGAAUUUUCAUCGAAACUACCAACUAGGAAAUAACCCAGGUGCUUCGAGGAAAAAAUGUUAUUUUCAUGAUACAUUUGACGGGUUGUUACAUGUAGCAGCUUCCCGAUGCACCUGAGCAGUCGGCCUUUGUGGUUUUCUCACUUGUUUUUGACUUAGCGGUAGUUACGGCUUUUAGUGUCGGAGUAAAUCUGGAGUUGAUGCGGGCCUCUAACGGUAGCACGAUGUUGUCCUUGAAGUUUAAGAGAUUAAAAAAAAAAUACCAUUAGUAACAGAAAAAUUCAAGCCUAAUUUCACUCCAGGUUAAAAAUCCUGCUAUUGUUGAGAACUUUCGGAGAAAUAAUCCUUACCGCAUGAUACAAUACUUAGGUUAGAAGAACUCACAAUGAGUGCGUGAACAUUAUUAGAUUGAAAAAGACUUAGACCUAAUUUAGGGCUAAUAUUUAAGUCAAGUUUAUGGCUAAGGAUCACCUAUCAACACGGAAUAUUUUGCUGUAAUCUUCUUGUUUACGCUACCAAUGCCUCAACUGACUUAUUGAGUAAAUUGUUCCACACGAAACCAUUUCACCAGCAAAUCACUGUUCAGCGUAAUUCAUUCAAAUGAAUUAUUUAAAUGAGGGUUUAUUAAACAUUUAGAUUAGUCUCAAGAAAUUUCGAUCAGAUAAAACAAUUCUCGAAAGCGAAACCAGAAAUUAGUGCAAACACUUGUACCUUGAUAUCAGUAUUGGAAUUCUCCUAAUUGUUCACAAUACAUUUUCUAUACUCUUGCUGGGAGAAUUUGUUUGAGAUAUUUGAACGUCUUUCCUGUCACGAUCAGGUUCUCUAUUUUCGUGAUCAACAUCGAUAUAUUUAUUGUAAAAAGGUUAAGAAGUUAAGAUUUGUAAAUUGUUCCGGGCAUUCAAGUUUUGACCUGACUUGACUCGGUGCGUGAACAAACCUACCUUACACACAGAAAUAUUUUUGUAUGUGAAGCGUAUACAUCUACUGUCGUUGAUUUUGUAUCUUAGUUUCUUUUUAGCACGAUUAGCAGACUUAUAAAUAACUUGCGGCGUUCCUCUGGAGCUGUUGAUAAAAUGAUUAACAAGUAGUGCGGUUUGCCACGGAAAUCUUGCAGAUCGGAAAUUACUGAAAUAAAAUAAUCAAGCGCAAUUAUGAUUGUAAGGGAACACGAAAAACCAAACGAAACCAAUACAAUUAUUUUUCAGUUACGCAGGUCAAUAAAUUCUCUGAACGUUGAAUAAUUCUUUUCUUCUCAGUUUGCUCAACAUACUCUAGUUUAUCGCUGAGAAUCGAGUAUUGGUAGGGACGUGUUCAACUGGACGAAUGUACUCUGCAUUCGAUGCACGUGAAUAAAACUUGCGUGGUUGAAGGGGAGAUUAUAAAAUAAUUGUUCAUCUUUGAGGAUGUUUGCUCUCGAACGGCCUAAUUCCUAUGUUUAUUAAAACGCGUAUUGCAUUGAAACUCGCGAAAUGGCGCGACUUAAAGCAAGAGCAUUGUUUGUUCAGCCCACGAGAGGUAGGUUCGUCUUUUUAUUGAUUGUGGACGCUUUUACUACGAAAAAAACCCAGUAUGAAUUACACAGAGUGGAGGCUGCUUAUGUAUUACCUAACUGUGACACAAGAAAAAUAAUAAUUUCGUGUUUCUUUGAUUAAGGAGGUAUUCAAUUCGAAUGAAAAGAGAGGAGGGCUAUUUAUGUAUUACUCAAUGAUACACUAAUAAAUGAGUUUUAGCCGCUUACAAGUGCGCGAGAUCAAGAAAGUGAUGUAGGCUUCGUUUCCUUUUCUUUGUACGCUCUUUGUUUCACACAGAAACAACCACAAGCGCACCACCGUGAAUUUGCAUACUCACGCCACUUCGCCGCCCGAGGCAAACAACUAAAAGCAAUUACUAAAUGUAAAUUAAACUAACUACACGCUGUGUAACGGCAAACAUUUGCACCGGCUCAUUUUGAUCUCACACAGAAAAUAUAAGUUAAAAAGCCGUCUUUCAUUGAACUAUGACAAUGCUGUUGCAGAUUAUGGUUUCUAUUCCUCAAAAUCGGAAAAGAUAAAGCAUCUUUGUCUUUGGAUGUUUGGAAUCAGGAUUCGCGUUCUCAAAUAUUUCAGUUAAACUUUAGUGAACUAGAUUGCAAAUAAUAUUGCCUGAUUUGUCAGUGUUCUUUUCGUUUAAUGACCGUUUAAAUAUGAAAAGCCUUGAAACUGUUUAAAUAGUUGUUGUUGUUUGGUUCUUUUUAAGAUAGAAAUGGAAGAACGUACCACCACACCAACCGUGAAAAGAAUAAAACUGAUUAAAUAUGAACACAAAACAACUGGAUUAAACAAAUCACCUCCUGCAGAGAAACUUUACCCUUGCUAGUGACCUUGUUAAACCUUGGUCAAACUGUGGUGGACAGAACAACCAAUAAAUCGGCCACUGUUAAGAAGUGAAUACGUAUAGUAUUCCUUUUCAACGAUAAACCAUUCUGUAAAGCCAGGAAAUGUUUAUUGGACUCUGUUAAAUCGUCAUGGAGUAGAAAAUCAAUCGACUUUGAUCAAUUUUCGUCCAGUGUUGUUUCUGUCAGAGCCAAUCAUUCAGUUUAAGCCUUGAUGUUACAAAUCCUUAUUUUCCCAUCCGGCUCCGUAUUUUUCCUUUUAUUUACUCAUAGCCAUCCAUUUCAAAUGAAGUCAGGCACUCGGCUCUCGUAAAAUCCUAAAUCUGGCGGUUAUAGCAACUUUCGUCUCGAAGCUUGACAAAACUAGAAUCUUCCAGCUUCCUUACCGCUAAAUGUGUACACAAGCAAUUAAGCCCGAAGGAUUUAAUAAGAGAUCUGUUCUUUCGGAACUUGCACAUGCCACUUGUUUCGCACGUCAUCUAGCGUGAUGUUUUGUGUCUUGUUAAUCCAUUCGUUCUUUUUUCGCCAUAGUAGCUUCAUGUUACGAGAAUAUGGACACGUAAGGAAACAUUAUGAGCCGGAUGAGGGCCACUUGUAAUAUUAGAUGAAAAGUGCAUGGCCGCGUAUUUAUGUGGCAGUAGCCAUUAAAAGUUGAUCAAGACAGCUUAUAGUGAACGUGAAAAGAGAUAAUUGUACAGGAAGGUGAGUCAGCUUGAUUUUGUAAAAAGCGCGUGAGGUAUCAAAUGUAAUUCACUUUCUAAACCAAAUCAUCACUUAGUAAAUUCACCGAUUUAUCUACCUUUGCAUUUUGACGGCGUUGUUUCAACUUUCAAACAGCAAUGAUCUUUUCCAUCGUUUAAAAUUCUCUUGUGAAAUCCUGAACAUACAACACUACAAAACAAUGUUCUCUCUCUAACAGUGCUCGGUAAUCAGUGUAAGGGUAAAAGUAUCUGCGGUUAAGACCAAUUUCUCUGAAACAACUGUUUCAUCUAUCUGCUACGUGAAUACAACCGAAUCCACGCCUUACCACUCAUCCCAUUGUUUUAAAAUAUUCAUUUUAGUGUAUUUCUUGAAUCCAAGAAAGAAAACGCUUAGGUUCAUAUUAAAGCUUAAGCACUUAAUUUAUUCAUUGUUAGCAGUUAAAAGUCUAUACAGGUCACAAAAUUAUUCAUUUUGACCGUUGUGGCCGACACAUCAGCGAACUUAAGUUGCGACGCUUUUGGGACGCGGACGCUAACCGGAGGUUGAAAGUUCUCGUUCCAGGUGUUCUCUACAGCUUUUUGGUCAGCACAGUUUGGUUUGAAAUACAAACACGACGACUUUGCAGUUGAUCCCAUGGCGUCAAAAGCGCGCCAGAAUUAGCUCCGUUCCUCUUCUGGUUGCCGUUCGCGUCUCAAAAACGUCGCUGCUUAAGUUUGCUCUCAAUUGUAAAAUGGGACUUUUUGCUUACAGCAACUGCUGUAGGCGAGAGUCAAAUCGAGAAGGGAUUGGGGAAGAGUUGUUUCCAGGGUAUGCCAAGUCAAGCAAAUCAGCUUUCUGCUCAACUUAAUAUCGUGUU